GGGGCCUCCUGCUGCUGCUGCGCCGCCGGAGCACGAUUUCUGUUCUCAUCCUGAAGCAAAGUUCUUAACCUGAGCUAAUAUUUCUGGGUUAGUGGAGUCUGUAACCUGAAGUGUAUGUAACCUGAGGUACCACUGUACCUGAAUAGCAACCGCUUGUAGAUACCACUGGGAAACCAAAAUAGCAGUCCCUUGUGUGAUCCUUGGGUUCUCGCCAAACCAUGGGA